rnacentral:rRNA from 1 species
UACGGAGGGUGCAAGCGUUAUCCGGAUUCACUGGGUUCAAAGGGUGCGUAGGCGGGUUGGUAAGUCCGUGGUGAAAUCUCCGAGCUUAACUCGGAAACUGCCAUUGAUACUAUCUGUCUUGAAUAUCCUGGAGGUAAGCGGAAUAUGUCAUGUAGCGGUGAAAUGCUUAGAUAUGACAUAGAACACCAAUUGCGAAGGCAGCUUACUACGGGAUUAUUGACACUGAGGCACGAAAGCGUGGGGAUCAAACAGG